CUGCUCGCUUUGGCAGCACAUAUACUAAAAUUGGGACAAUACAGAGAAGAUUAGCAUGGCCUCGGCGCAAGGAUGGCAUGGAAAUUUGUGAAGCAGAAUGGAAGCUCUUU